rnacentral:rRNA from 1 species
AACUUAAAGGAAUUGACGGGGGCCCGCACAAGCGGUGGAGCAUGUGGUUUAAUUCGAUGAUACGCGAGGAACCUUACCUGGGCUCAAAUGUAUGUUGACGUAUUCUGAAAGGGAUACUUCUUCGGACAAUAUACAAGGUGCUGCAUGGUUGUCGUCAGCUCGUGCCGUGAGGUGUCGGGUUAAGUCCCAUAACGAGCGCAACCCUUGCCUUUAGUUGCCAGCAGUUCGGCUGGGCACUCUAAAGGGACUGCCGGUGUUAAACCGGAGGAAGGUGGGGAUGACGUCAAGUCCUCAUGGCCUUUAUGACCAGGGCUACACACGUACUACAAUGGCCGAUACAAAGGGCAGCGACACUGCGAGGUGAAGCCAAUCCCGUAAAAUCGGUCUCAGUCCGGAUUGGAGUCUGCAACUCGACUCCAUGAAGUUGGAAUCGCUAGUAAUCGUGGAUCAGCAUGCCACGGUGAAUACGUUCCCGGGCCUU